rnacentral:rRNA from 1 species
GACGAACGCUGGCGGUGUGCUUAACACAUGCGAGUCGAACGGAAAGGCCCUGCUUUUGUGGGGUGCUCGAGUGGCGAACGGGUGAGUAACACGUGAGUAACCUGCCCUUGACUUUGGGAUAACUUCAGGAAACUGGGGCUAAUACCGGAUAGGAGCUCCUGCUGCAUGGUGGGGGUUGGAAAGUUUCGGCGGUUGGGGAUGGACUCGCGGCUUAUCAGCUUGUUGGUGGGGUAGUGGCUUACCAAGGCUUUGACGGGUAGCCGGCCUGAGAGGGUGACCGGCCACAUUGGGACUGAGAUACGGCCCAGACUCCUACGGGAGGCAGCAGUGGGGAAUAUUGCACAAUGGGCGGAAGCCUGAUGCAGCAACGCCGCGUGCGGGAUGACGGCCUUCGGGUUGUAAACCGCUUUCGCCUGUGACGAAGCGUGAGUGACGGUAAUGGGUAAAGAAGCACCGGCUAACUACGUG